rnacentral:rRNA from 1 species
UUUUUUAAGACUUUCACUUAAAAUAUAACCUGCUCACUGUAAAGUUAAAAUCAUAACUUUAUAAACAGCUGCAAACAUUUGUACUAAGGUAGCAUAAUCAUUAGCUUUUUAAUUAAAAGAUAGAAUGAAUGGUAUAACGAAUCAUACACUUUUUUAAAUUUUAAAAUUAACUUAAAUUUAACAGUAAAAAUUCUGUUAAUAAUAAGAAAGACGAUAAGACCCUAACAAACUUAUAAUAUUUAGCUGGGGAGGCUAAAAAAAUAAACCUUAAUAUUUACAUAAUACAAAACUUCUUUAAAAAAUUAAGAUUUUAGUUACUAUAGGGAUAACAGUGCAAUAUUAGUUUAAAGAUCAUAUUAAAACUAAAACUUUACAACCUCGAUGUUGAAUUAAUUUAACUUUUUAAAGUAAAUUUUAAAAAAGAUAGGUCUGUUCGACCAAUAAUAAAUU